GACUGGACUAAGGGCUCCUACUCCCUCCAGAAGACUAUGGCCUCAACUGCUUUUUUUAAAGACACAGGCCUCCUGCUCUUCUUACUACUGGGACUGCAGCCAUCGUCAUUUGUUUCAGGACAAAACACAAACUCAAGUUCCAAUUCAACGACCAAUGCUUCAUCAACUGUGAUGUCAACUGGCAUGAGUACUGACUCUGCAGCAACUAUCGUGACAGCUACCACAGCUCAAACUACAAUGUCGUCUGCCAUUUCUUCUACGAAUACUACAAUGUCUUCUGCAGGGUUGGGUAGUGGAACCACAAGCACGGACAAUACCACUUCAUGGGGCACCAGUGGCAUGACCAUGAUAUCCUGUCGACAGUUCUCCUGUAACUACUCAGACUGCUACAAUGUGUACAUGAAUAUGACUUCUGUUUCAUGCAACGCUAAUAUCACCUUCUGUGAGCUGAAGAGACAGGAAGACAUGACUUACACCGGUGGCUGCAGUUCCUCCUGCAGUAAUGCCUGUGUCAACGACACUCAGACCAACUGUACCAUGGGAUGCUGCAACUCCACUGGCUGUCUUAGCUCUACCCUGGCCUCCAUUUUUGGCACAAACACUACAACAGUGACUACAGUGAUGAUGACCACCACCACCACAACAACAGCAGCAGCCACCACUACAACUGCUGAACCAACCAAUUCAAAGGAUACCAUAAUCUCUACCCUGGCCAUUGUCAAUGCACCUGUUGAUGCUCUGACCCAAGAGGAAUGGGAGGUGGUGGAGGGAGGUGUGCAGAGUCCUGGAACCCUUUGAGCAGGUCACUGUGGAGAUCAGUGGAGAGAGCUUAGUCCUGUGUAAGGGUCUGCAGCGAAUCACAACCAGCCGCCAGAGAGAAGCAAAUGUAACCACAGGACAUGUGACAUAGUUGAUUGACACCCAAUGUUCAUCAAUGAACAGAAAGUUCCACAGAAUGGAAUAUAAUCAUGUGCAAUCAGAAACCGCUGCACUUGACCCCAGGUUUAAGAAGUUAGCCUUCACUGAGCGAUUGAUGAGGCUCUUUAAAGAAUAACCUCAGCAGCAGGGAGGGACAGCCCCAGCAGUCAGCUGGCUCAGGC
rnacentral:lncRNA from 1 species